AUUGAACGCUGCGGCAUGCUUUACACAUGCAAGUCGAACGGUAACAGGCCGCAAGGUGCUGACGAGUGGCGAACGGGUGAGUAAUGCAUCGGAACGUGCCCAGUCGUGGGGGAUAACGCAGCGAAAGCUGUGCUAAUACCGCAUACGAUCUAUGGAUGACAGCGGGGGACCGUAAGGCCUCGCGCGAUUGGAGCGGCCGAUGUCAGAUUAGGUAGUUGGUGGGGUAAAGGCUCACCAAGCCAACGAUCUGUAGCUGGUCUGAGAGGACGACCACCCACACGGGGACUGAGACACGGCACAGACUCCUACGGGAGGCAGCAGUGGGGAAUUUUGGACAAUGGGCGCAAGCCUGAUCCAGCAAUGCCGCGUGCAGGAAGAAGGCCUUCGGGUUGUAAACUGCUUUUGUACGGAACGAAAAGGUUUGGGUUAAUACCCUGGGCCGAUGACGGUACCGUAAGAAUAAGCACCGGCUAACUACGUGCCAGCCGCCGCCGUAA
rnacentral:rRNA from 1 species